rnacentral:sRNA from 1 species
UCCUAGUGACGACGUUUGCCACGCCUGC